UGGCAGGGGAAGGAAACUGGGAGAUGAUUAAGCAUUGUCUCACAACCCUCAAAAACGCAGAGUUGUGCCUCUAAGAUUGAGAAAGAUGGGAGAAAUGAAGACUGACCACACCGAUGCUGUCUGAUGACUCUUUGGCCAUUGUGCAGAUUCCACAACUCUGCAAAUCUGAGGAUAUCAUUUUCAGUUCUGUGCUAACAGCUAAAGAUACGAGGAAGAAGAAGAACAAGGAGCUAUCUUUACUUCCACCAUCGGAUUCCAGUCAGAAUCGACUCAACAGCACUGGUUUUUUUUUUUUUUUUUUUAAAUAG